rnacentral:rRNA from 1 species
GACGAACCGUGCGAACGUUAUUCGGAAUCACUGGGCUUAAAGCGCGUGUAGGCGGGCCGGCACGUCGGUCGCUGAAAUCCCCCGGCUCAACCGGGGAAGGGGCGCCGAUACGACCGGCCUGGAGGGGCGUAGGGGGACUGGGAACUUCCGGUGGAGCGGUGAAAUGCGUUGAGAUCGGAAGGAACGCCCGCGGCGAAAGCGCGGUCCUGGACGCCUGCUGACGCUGAGACGCGAAAGCCAGGGGAGCGAACGGG